UAGGGAAUUUUUCACAAUGAGCGAAAGCUUGAUGGAGCAAUGCCGCGUGAACGAUGAAGGUCUUUAAGAUUGUAAAGUUCUUUUAUUUGGGAAGAAUGACUUUAGCAGGUAAUGGCUAGAGUUUGACUGUACCAUUUUGAAUAAGUGGCGACUAACUAUGUGCCAGCAGUCGCGGUAAUACAUAGGUCGCAAGCGUUAUCCGGAUUUAUUGGGCGUAAAGCAAGCGCAGGCGGAUUGAAAAGUCUGGUGUUAAAGGCAGCUGCUUAACAGUUGUAUGCAUUGGAAACUAUUAAUCUAGAGUGUGGUAGGGAGUUUUGGAAUUUCAUGUGGAGCGGUGAAAUGCGUAGAUAUAUGAAGGAACACCAGUGGCGAAGGCGAAAACUUAGGCCAUUACUGACGCUUAGGCUUGAAAGUGUGGGGAGCAAAUAGGAUUAGAUACCCUAGUAGUCCACACCGUAAACGAUAGAUACUAGCUGUCGGGGCGAUCCCCUCGGUAGUGAAGUUAACACAUUAAGUAUCUCGCCUGGGUAGUACAUUCGCAAGAAUG
rnacentral:rRNA from 1 species